rnacentral:rRNA from 1 species
UACAGAGGGUGCAAACGUUGCUCGGAAUUAUUGGGCGUAAAGCGCGUGUAGGCGGCUUGUUAAGUCGGUUGUGAAAACCCAUGGCUCAACCAUGGAAGGGCGUCCGAAACUGGCAAGCUAGAGUCCCGACGAGGAUGGCGGAAUUCCCAGUGUAGAGGUGAAAUUCGUAGAUAUCGGGAGGAACACCAGUGGCGAAGGCGACUACCUGGCCUGUUCUUGACGCUGAGGCGCGAAAGCUAGGGGAGCAAACGGG